ensembl:lncRNA
CUGAGGCUCAGCAGCCAUGGCUCCCAGGCUCUGGAGCUCAGGCUCAGCAGCUGUGGCUCUAGAGCUCGGGCUCAGCAGCCGUGGCUCCCGGGCUCCGGAGCUCAGGCUCAGCAGCCGUGGCUCUCAGGGUUGCCUGCUCCCCGGCAUGUGGGAUCUUCCCACACCAGAGACGGAACCAGUGUGUCCUGCAUUGGCAGGCAGAUUUCCUCACCACUGAGCCACCAGGGAAGCCCCCCUUCAAUAUUCUUAAACAUAAAAUAUACAGACUGGUGAUUAAAAAGGCACACACCCCUCGCCGAACCAGGUUCCAGAAAACCGCUCAUGUCAAGGUCCUCCCAGUCCACCUACUGCCGUCCUGUGACUUCACCCGGGAGGGCUUUCGAGUCGGCCUGCCUGGGACAAAAACGCUCCUGUAGCCCCUCCGUUACCAGAAGAGCCACCACACGCUGGAGGCGCAGCCCUUGGCUCAGGCAGGCUGCCUACGCAUGCAGGAGGCGCCAUCAGCAUCUUCCUCCCAGAGAGGCAGAGGGUCAGCAACUUGAUGGCAGGGUCCCAACGGGCCAGCAGGAAGAGACGACGUCCUGGCGCAGGAGCAGCACGGGCUGCGGAUGACAGCCCCGAUAAGCCGGCCACGGCUAUACACGGGAGACAGGAAAAUGAAUCUCCGCUGGCGACAAGAUCACAAUCAGCCUGGUAUGGUGAAGAAUUAAUCAUACUGGCCAAAUGCAAUUGAGUUCUGACACCUCUGGGUUCGAAGUACAAGAGUCAAGAAUAAAGACCAGUCAGUCCCAGACGAUUGGUUACUUGUUACACUCACAUGGAAAGACCAGAUUAUGUUAACAGCACUAACAGGCAGGAACUAAAGUCUGAAGACAGAUUUCCUUGGCACUUAAGAGCAUUCUAAAAAUAUAGAUGUGACACCAAAGCCGUAGCUGGGGUGACUCUUCUAGAACCUGAGUCAGGUAUCAUGCCUCCUGCCCAAGACCCCCAGCCCAGACCAUACCCCUCACCCUCUGCUCCAGCCAGCCUGCCUCCUCCCCCCCCCUUACGGCCAGCACAAUCCACGCU